AUUGAACGCUGGCGGCAGGCCUAACACAUGCAAGUCGAACGAGUGGCGGACGGGUGAGUAAUGUCUGGGAAACUGCCCGAUGGAGGGGGAUAACUACUGGAAACGGUAGCUAAUACCGCAAACCAUCGGAUGUGCCCAGAUGGGAUUAGCUUGUAGGUGAGGUAACGGCUCACCUAGGCGACGAUCCCUAGCUGGUCUGAGAGGAUGAACGGCCACACUGGACCUGAGACACGGUCCAGACUCCUACGGGAGGCAGCAUGGGGGAAUAUGGCACAAGGGGCGCAAGCCUGAUGCAGCCAGGCAGCGUGUAUGAAGAUGGCCUUCGGGUUGUAAAGUACUUUCAGCGGGGAGGCGUUACCCGCAGAAGAAUCACCGGCUAACUCCGUGCCAGCAGCCGCGGUAAUAC
rnacentral:rRNA from 1 species